UACGGGGGGGGCAAGCGUUUGUUCGGAAUUACUGGGCGUAAAGGGCGCGUAGGCGGCCAUUCAAGUCGGAGGUGAAAGCCCAGGGCUCAACCCUGGAAUUGCCUUCGAUACUGUUUGGCUAGAGACCGGAAGAGGUAAGUGGAACUGCGAGUGUAGAGGUGAAAUUCGUAGAUAUUCGCAAGAACACCAGUGGCGAAGGCGGCUUACUGGUCCGGUUCUGACGCUGAGGCGCGAAAGCGUGGGGAGCAAACAGG
rnacentral:rRNA from 1 species